rnacentral:rRNA from 1 species
CCUACGGGGUGCAGCAGUGAGGAAUAUUGGUCAAUGGACGCAAGUCUGAACCAGCCAUGCCGCGUGCAGGAAGACGGCUCUAUGAGUUGUACACUGCUUUUGUACGAGGGUAAACGCAGAUACGCGUAUCUGUCUGAAAGUAUCGUACGAAUAAGGAUCGGCUAACUCCGUGCCAGCAGCCGCGGUAAUACGGAGGAUUCAAGCGUUAUCCGGAUUUAUUGGGUUUAAAGGGUGCGUAGGCGGUCGGAUAAGUUAGAGGUGAAAUCCCGAGGCUCAACUUCGGAAUUGCCUCUGAUACUGUUCGGCUAGAGAGUAGUUGCGGUAGGCGGAAUGUAUGGUGUAGCGGUGAAAUGCUUAGAGAUCAUACAGAACACCGAUUGCGAAGGCAGCUUACCAAGCUACUUCUGACGUUGAGGCACGAAAGCGUGGGGAGCAAACAGGAUUAGAUACCCGGGUAGUC